GACCUAUCAGAGAGGACUACCGUUGGAAACGAACGUUAAUACCUCAUAACGUAACGAGAUCGCAUGAUAAUGUUACCAAAGAUUUAUCGCUGAUAGAUGGCCUCGCGUCUGAUUAGCUAGUUGGUGAGGUAACGGCUCACCAAGGCGACGAUCAGUAGCCGGUCUGAGAGGAUGAACGGCCACAUUGGGACUGAGAUACGGCCCAGACUCCUACGGGAGGCAGCAGUGGGGAAUAUUGGGCAAUGGGGGAAACCCUGACCCAGCAACGCCGCGUGAAGGAAGAAGGCCUUCGGGUUGUAAACUUCUUUUACCAGGGACGAAUAAAUGACGGUACCUGGAGAAAAAGCAACGGCUAACUACGUG
rnacentral:rRNA from 1 species